UACGUAGGGUGCAAGCGUUAAUCGGAAUUACUGGGCGUAAAGCGUGCGCAGGCGGUUUUGUAAGACAGGCGUGAAAUCCCCGGGCUCAACCCGGGAACGGCUUCCGAGACUGGUCGGCUUGAAUCCAGGAGAGGGUGGUGGAAUUCCGAGUGUAGAGGUGAAAUUCGUAGAUAUUCGGAAGAACACCGGUGGCGAAGGCGACCACCUGGCCUGGUAUUGACGCUCAUGUGCGAAAGCGUGGGGAGCAAACAGGAUUAGAAACCCCAGUAGU
rnacentral:rRNA from 1 species